AACGCUGAGCGCUCCGCAGGCCAUGGGACAGUCCUCGCCUCCACGGAAGUGUCUGCCAGGUGCCUGAAGCUUUUCCCCCGGAGACCCGAGGAGACGCACACACCGUCCGUCUCUGUGUUUGCCAGGCCCUGGUCUCUGAUCACCUGCCGCCGCCCCCACCACUUCUCUGCCCCUCCAUGGGCAACCUGAACAACAGUGCGUGGCGGAGCUGAGAUGGGGCUGGGAUAAGCCAGCAAGACUUCCUGAAGGGGCAGAAAAACCCGCUGAUGGCAAGUGACGUGGCUAGUUCUCUUCCGCUGAAGCUGAAGCUGGUCUUGCACGACGCAGCCCUUCCUUCCCUACUUCAGGCCUCUGCGCAUCACACCCCGUGACCACCACCACCUAGACUUUUUAAAGACAAGAACCUACUAACACCGGCUUGCCUAAGCACCCCAAUUUGGAAUGGCCACCUAGCGUCACUCCUCUUGUUGGCAAGAUCUCACAGUGGCUUGGUGGCAGAGUUGGGACUCAACUCUCCUAACCCCCAGGCCAGGAUUCUCCACGCCAGGCCCUGUGGGAGGGGGCACUGAUGGGAUUAAACAGCACGCCCCCAGCCUCAGGACCGUCCUCUAGUGGAGCCUAGGCAUCGAGCAACUGGUCAACCUAACUGGUCUGAGCCUGGGGGUUGAGGAUUCGAACUCAGAAAUGCUGAAAGGCACCAAGGAUGUGAGGGGGUGACACGUCCUCGUGAAACAUCUGUGCCACACAGGGAUUGUCCGGGCCCAGGACACUGGCAGGGGGAAGAGGGAAGCCAGGUGACGACGGACUAACUGCUGGCAGAUGGAUGAGAGGAAGAGUUCGUUAUUCCUUUUCUUCAAGACACACCCAGCUUCCUGCCCAGAGGCACAACUGCUGAUCUCUAAGGUAAGAAAAUGAAGCCCCAAAGUGUCUUUCGUGAAGUCGCAUCACUGCAUCCUAGAGCCUCGAGCAAGCACAGGCCCCCAUAUUUCUGAACCCAACCAACUUCCAUCACCUGACUGUCUCUCUCUACACACGGUUUAGUUUAUUGAUUAUACUGAUAAUGCUGUGUUUCUUUCUUUGUCUAUAACAAGGUUUAAGU